AGAGUUUGAUCCUGGCUCAGGAUGAACGCUAGCGGUGUGCCUAAUGCAUGCAAGUCGAACGGGAACCUUUGGAUUCGUCUGAAGGGGAGAGUGGCGAACGGGUGAGUAACACGUANGUGGCCCACCCCAGAGAGGGGGACAACCACUGGAAACGGUGGCUAAUACCCCAGAUGUUAUACUGCUUAGAAAGGUAUGACUAAAGCUCCGGCGCUCUGGGAGGGGCCUGCGGCCCAUCAGCUAGUUGGUGGGGUAACAGCCUACCAAGGCUAANACGGGUAGGGGGCGUGAGAGCGUGACCCCCCACACUGGUACUGAGACACGGACCAGAUACCUGCGGGUAGCAGCAGCAAGGAAUAUUGCGCAAUGGGCGAAAGCCUGACGCAACAACACCGCGUGGAGGAUGAAGGUCUUCGGAUUGUAAACUCCUUUUCUGGGGGAAGAGAAAGGACGGUACCCCAGGAAUAAGUCUCGGCUAACUACGUGCCAGCAGCCGCGGUAAAACGUAGGAGGCGAGCGUUAUCCGGAUUUACUGGGCGUAAAGCGCAUGCAGGCGGUUUUCUAAGUCGGACGUGAAAGCUCCUGGCUCAACUAGGAGGGGCCGUUCGAAACUAGGAGACUUGAGGAUGGUAGAGGANAGUGGAAUUCCCGGUGUAGUGGUGAAAUGCGUAGAUAUCGGGAGGAACACCAGUGGCGAAGGCGGCUCUCUGGGCCAUUCCUGACGCUCAGAUGCGAAAGCUAGGGGAGAGAACGGGAUUAGAAACCCCGGUAUUCCUAGCCGUAA
rnacentral:rRNA from 1 species